AUGAGUCUAUUCUGCUGGAACUGUCGCGGGGCUGGCAAACCCGCGACGGUUCGAGAGCUUCGUGAUCUCAUGAGGCAACUUGCCCCCUCUAUUCUUUGUAUUGUUGAAACCCAAAUUGAGGGCUCUCGAGUAGAGAAUAUGGUAGGCUCUUUAGGAUACAAUAAAAGUUUUGUUGUCAGUAGCUCUGGCAGAAGUGGUGGCUUAGGAGUUUUUUGGAAUGAGGAAAUAAAGCUUGAAGUUAUUGGUUAUUCUGAGUAUCACAUUGAUAUGACAGUUGAUGAACUCGUUGACACAAAGGUUAGGGUUACUUUUGUGUAUGGAGAAGCGCAGGUUAACCAACGUCACAAAACGUGGGAUAUGCUGAGGGGAAUUGUUGGUUCUAGCAAUCUGCCUUGGAUUGUAAUGGGAGACUUUAAUGAAGUGCUUCACGCCCAUGAACAUGACGGCGUGGGCAUACGUAGCCAAGCUCAAAUGGAUUUAUUCCGUGACACUCUUGACACUUGUGGCCUGACUGACAUUGGUUAUAUUGGAAGGAACUGGACGUUUGAGAAAAAAGUGGCCGGAGGUACGUAUACCAAGGUUCGGCUUGACAGAGCAGUAGCCAAUAUGGCUUGGUGUGUGCAGUUUCCACAUGCAAUCACUGAACACAAGGAAGCUGCCUCGUCCGACCAUAUCCCCAUCUACGUGAAACUCAAGGACAUGCAUGCAAGAAGGGCCCCGCGCAGGUUUAAAUAUGAACUCUGCUGGGAACUGUUGGGGAACGUUGCAGAAAAUUAA
rnacentral:rRNA from 1 species